UUGGAGGGCAAGUCUGGUGCCAGCAGCCGCGGUAAUUCCAGCUCCAAUAGCGUAUAUUAAAGUUGUUGCAGUUAAAAAGCUCGUAGUUGAACUUUGGGCCUGGCUGAUCUGUCCUCCUAAUCGAGCGCACGGACUUGGUCGGGCCUUUCCUCCUGGGGAACCCCGAUGCCCUUCAGUGGGCGUCGUGGGGAACCAGGACUUUUACCUUGAAAAAAUUAGAGUGUUCAAAGCAGGCCUUUGCUCGAAUACAUUAGCAUGGAAUAAUAGAAUAGGA
rnacentral:rRNA from 1 species